GAUUAUCUAGACGGGGAACCAUGGAAGUCUUUUGUUGCAAGUGUUGAUACCGAAGAGUGGAAGAAAAUAAGUGAAAAAGCAAAGAAGAGCGUAAAAGAAAACAUUAACCCCGCGUGUGUAGGGAGAUGUGGUUUUGUUGGACUGGAGCCCCACAUAGAAAGUAGAUGGAAUCAACUUGUUUCAAGCUAUCCACAUUUAGAUGCUAUUGAACAUCCUAGCUCUAUAAGGAAUACAGUAAGUAAAGCACGUCUUAAUCCGGUCACAAAGCUAUAUGAACUUAGAGAAAACCUUAUAUUAAAUGGUGAUUUGACAGGAUUACUUGAAUUAUUGAUAA